rnacentral:lncRNA from 1 species
CUCCUCCUCCAAGCCACCCAUAAGUCAUCCUCCUCUACAGCAGCCCCCUCUACCUCCGUCCCUUCUCGUUGACAAUCCAUCCUUCUCCCUCUUCUUCCUCCCCAUCCACUUCUCCUUCUUGUCCUCCUCUUCCAAUCCAUUGAAGGAACCAGAUCUAGGGUUUCAGGAUUAGAUCUUAAAACUUUUUCAAAAUCAGGCAGC